AAGUUUGGAGAGGAUGCCUUGGGAGGAAAAUAGAGGCGUGUUCCAACACGAAAGUUUUGGCUAAGGAAAACCUGUGAGGUCAAAAUUCCUAGAUUGGGAAAGCAGGACAAAAAGUCCUAGUGCUUUUGCACAAAAAAAAGGGGGAAGUGAAACAUCUAAUUACCCCUGUUCCAAAUCAACCGAGAUAGCCUCAGUAGUGGUGAGCGAAAGGGCUGAAAAGGCAGAACAAAGCAGAUCAGCCUAGAAAAAUGCCAAAGAAGGUAAAAGCCCUGUAUAGGUUGGAAGUUUUAGUAGAAAGUACCAUGAGCCAUGUCUAGCUUGUGGGAAGAUUGGGGGACCACCCUCAAAGCCUAAAAAAGGUUUUCCUCACCGAUAGUGAACUAGUACCGUGAGGGAAAGGUGAAAAAGAGGUUGCGACGAUGAACCUGAAACUCCUGACUAUGGUCGGAGCUAAAUCUAGAAGGUUCUCCUUGUGGGGAACUUCUUUUUAUGGUAACGGCUUACCUUUUGCAUAAUGGGUCAGUGAAUGUGUGCACAGGGCAAGCUUAAGCUUCUAGUGAAGGCGAAGAGAAAUCGAGUCCCUAAGGGCGUAGAAAGUCCUUUGUGCACAACCCGAAACCGGCUGAGCUAAACUUGAACAGGCUGAAGAAGAUGUGGUAACACUCUUUGGAGGGCCGAACCCGUGUGUGUGGCAAAAUACUGGGAUGAUUUGAGUUUAGGGGUGAAAGGCCAAUCAAAGUCGGAUAUAGCUGGUUUUCUGCGAAAUCUAUUGAAGUAGAGCGUCCCAAAAGGGGAUUUGGGGGUAGAGCACUGUAGAAGGAAGGGGGAUGUUUCGUCUUACUGACCUUGGGCAAACUCCGAAUACCAAAUUCUUACUUGGGGCAGACAGACUGUGGGUGCUAAGAUCCAUAGUCAAAAGGGAAACAGCCCAGACUAGAGGCUAAGGGCCAUAAAAUGACUUCAGUGACCAAGGAGCUUCAAAACUUAAGACAACCAGAAGAUGGGCUUGGAAGCAGCCAUUCUUUAAAGAUAGCGUAACAGCUCACUGGUCUAGGUCUUGAAGCCCGUCAAUUUUGAGGGCUUAAAGUCGUUCCCGAAGCCCUAGACAUAGAAAGGUUUCUAUGUGGUAGCAGAACGUUCCCUAAGGCUAAAGCCUUGGUGAUAGCUGAGGUGAACUUAUGGGAAGUGAGAAUACUGACAUGAGUAGCAUAAAAGAAUGUUGAAGCAUUCUGGCCGAAAGUCCAAGGGUUUCGAUCGGAGGUAAAACCGGAUCGGAGCAUGGUAUAUGCCUUGUCAAACGGUCCCUAAGCCAUCAGGCCAAGGCCUGAGGUAAUGGGUAAGUCUAAGCUGUGCAUUGAUGUUGACGGAAGGUUUUUUAUUUUAUUUUUUAUCCUAUGGUUAUAUAAGGAGUAAAAGAAUCUUUCCAAGAAAUAGACUUCAGAAAGAAAGCACCGUACCCUAAACCGACACAGGUGGACAGGUGGAGAACACUAAGGCCUUGAGAUAACCCUGUUGAAGGAACUCGGCAAAAUGACCCUGUAACUUCGGGAGAAGGGGUGGGGAGACAGGGGAAACCCUGUUUCCCUGGCACAGAAUCGGGGGUAGCGACUGUUUAAUAAAAAGUGCGACAAGAAGUUCAGGAAGGGAUUGGGGUGUAAGUCCCCCUCCCGAAUCGUUCAUGGGAGAGUCUAUCCAGACUUGCGUAGCGAGUAAUUGCUAGGUGAGAAGCUCUGGAGACAAUGUACCUGCUCUCUUAAUAAAGAGAUGCCAGGGCUAGGCUUAGUUCCUAUGGCUAGCGAAAGCGAAUACAGGUAUUAGGCGCCGUGAAAACAAAACUCCUCAUUUAUUGAGAGACACGUAGAUGGGUUGCCUUCCUUUUUAUGGGGCAACUGAACGAUCAAUAUCUACCGGCGUAGACUGUGAGCCUAAGGGAAACGAAUGAAAGUGUCCCUUCCUGGGAACUUGGUAAGCCCAAUAGACUCCCUUGUGGAGGAGUAAGAGUAAUCUUACUUAUCGUCUAGUGGGUAAAAGACAUAAUAGGAAGCGAAUGCUCGGUAGUCGAUGUACAAGUCGACCUUGGUAAUGACCGAGAUAGAAUCUAUUGAUUUAAGCUGAAAGGCUGCAGACUUAUUCUAUGGGUGUUCUGGCGCAAGCCUUUGAUAAAGAUAAUAAAUAAGUCAACGAUUUGUGUACUCUUUCAUUAGGCAUUAUGCCUCAGGCUCCGGCUAGAGGUUUAAUGCUCAAUGAAAUACGAAGAACUUGUCAUAUAAAUAUUAUCCUGAAAACAUGAGUAAUUUACAUACUUUUUCCUUCAGUUGGCAUGACAUUAAUUGGCGUAAUAUCCAAUCAAAAGUCAGUUAUUAUCAAAAUCAACUCGCAGUAGCCGAAUACAAAGGAAAUUCUGGUUUAGUAACCGUACUACAAAGAAACCUUGUCAAAUCAUUUGCUGGUCGAGCUCUUGCGGUACGUUCUAUAACGUCGAAUAAGGGCAAGAACACUCCUGGUAUUGAUGGGUUAAUUUGGGACACAUCAGAUAAGAAAAUGGAUGCAAUCCACAGGUUGGGUGAGGUUAACAACUACCGAUGCUCGCCUGUAAAAAGAGUAUACAUACCAAAGUCAGGGGGGAAACUUCGUCCUCUUGGAAUACCAAAUAUGUAUGAUCGAGGGUUGCAGUACCUAUGGAAGUUGGCUCUGGAUCCUAUAGCUGAGUGUCGGGCUGACCGACACUCUUAUGGAUUUCGGAAGGGGAGGAGUACGCAGGAUGUACAAACUAUGAUGCAUCUACUCCUUAGUCCCUCCAGUAGAUGUGAUUGGGUUCUGGAGGCUGAUAUCAAGGGGUUCUUUGAUAACAUAAACCACGACUGGAUCAUACAGAAUAUUCCGAUGGACAAAAGUAUUUUACUUGAAUGGUUGAAAGCGGGCGCUUUAGAGAUACCCUCACGGGAAUUUCAUGAAGGCUUGGCCGGAGUACCACAAGGAGGACCUAUUUCUCCUUUGAUUGCAAAUAUGACAUUGGAUGGUUUACAAGGUUGGGUGGUCCGCUCCGUCGAACACCUCUAUAAAAAGAGUAAGAAGACAAGCUGGUCCCCAAAGGUAAAUGUUAUAAGGUACGCGGAUGACUUCGUUGUCACUGCGGCCACAAAGCGUAUACUCGAUAAAAUAGUUAAACAGUCGAUUCAAGAUUUCCUGGCCUUGCGAGGUUUGGAAUUAAAUCAUGAAAAGACUUGUAUAACUAGCGUAAAGAAAGGUUUUGACUUCGUUGGGUUCCACUUCAGGGUGUACCCCGACAAGUCAGGCCCUAAAAGUGCAAAGUCGAUUGUUAAACCGACAAUGAAAAGCAAGAAAAGGCUCCGAUCCAAAAUUAAAGAUGUUGUGAACUUAAAUCGAAGCUCUGGUGAAAUUAUAAAAGAUUUGAAUCCAAUCCUCCGUGGUUGGGCAAACUAUUAUAAAGCAACCUCGGCUAAGAAAUCCUUUACUUCUGUCGGUAAAUACGUCUGGGAUAAAACCUGGGUAUGGGCCAAAAGAAAACAUCGUCAAUUGAAUUCUCGUGAUCUUGGGAAACGGUAUUAUACCCAGCGUGGCAAGCGAAAAUGGAUCUUCAAAGGAGAUCUGAUGGGUAAGGAGUUGACAAUUUUCCUAAUAGACCGUGUUCCAAUAAGGCGACACUCUCUAGCGAGGGACUACAAUCCUUAUCUGUUAGACAACGAAAAUUACUUUCUAAAACGUGACAAAAGACUGGCUUCUUCGUACUUAUGGGGCGAAAAGAAAAGAAAGUUGUUAGCUAGAGAUAAGUAUAAAUGUCGAAUAUGUAAUGAAUAUAUUUGUGGUGAGGAUAUAGUUGAGAUUCACCACAUAAAACCUAGGAGACUGGGUGGUAAGGAUUCUAUAUCCAAUAGUGUAGUCUUACACGGGGAGUGUCAUAAACAGCUGACAUAUACUAAAUCAAGAAGCCUCUUGGCUCAAUUUAGAAGAGAACAGAUCUUGAAUGACUAGUGCAUUUAGUGAAUUUGAUCUUUCUUCUAGAAAGCAGAACGCGUGAGCCGUGUGCGAUGAAAGUCGCAAGCACGGUUCUGAUGGGGGGGAAAUCUGUGAAGAUCUACCUAUCCAACUCACAGGUCUCUGCUAACUCGUAAGAGGAUGUAUAGGGACUGACACCUGCCCGGUGCUAUAAGGUGAAAGUAGGUUGUAUGCGCAAUCUAUCUAAGCUCUAGUAAACGGCGGCUGUAACUAUGACGGUCCAAAGGUAGCGAAAUUCCUUGUCGGGUAAGUUCCGACCUGCAUGAAUGGUGUAACGACUUCCCCGCUGUCUCCAACAGGGACUCAGUGAAAUUACAUUGCCCGUGAAGAUGCGGGCAUCCCACAGCUAGACGGAAAGACCCCGUGCACCUUUACUAUAGACAAAGAUUGUAAGUCAAAGCUAUGUGUGUAGCAUAGGUGGGAGCCUAAGACGCCUUCGCGCUAGCGAAUUGCCGAGGCUUUAGUGAAAUACCACCCCAGAGCUCUUGGCUUACUUACGAAAGGACAGUCUUUGUUGGGUAGUUUGACUGGGGCGGUCGCCUCCUAAAAAGUAUCGGAGGCCUGCAAAGGUAGGCUCACAGCCUUCACAAGGCUGGUAGAGCGUAAUGGUAAAAGCCUGCCUGACUGGAAGACAGACAAGUCGACCAGGGACGAAAGUCGGCCAUAGUGAUCUGGUGGUUCUUUGUGGAAGGGCCAUCACGCAAGGGAUAAAAGGUACGCCGGGGAUAACAGGCUAAUCAACCUCUAGAGCUCUUAUCGACGGGUUUGUUUGGCACCUCGAUGUCGACUCAUCACAUCCUGGAGCUGAAACCGGUUCCAAGGGUUCGGCUGUUCGCCGACGAAAGUGGUACGUGAGUUGGGUUUAGAACGUCGUGAGACAGUUUGGUCCCUAUCUACUGUGGGAAGUAGAAAAUCUAAAGGACUUGACCCUAGUACGAGAGGACCGGGAAGACUUGAUCUCUGGUGUUUCGGUUGUUCCCCCAUGGGGCAGUGCCGACUAGCUAAAUCAAGAAGAGGAAAUUGAUCUUUUGGCAAGAAUCUCUCCUUUAUGAAAGUUUUCAUAGGGCUGUGGAAGUCUACCACUUUGAUAGGAGGGAAGUGUAAGAGCUGUAAGGCUUUCAGCUGACCCUUACUAAUUGCCCUAUUUUUUGUGG
rnacentral:rRNA from 1 species